rnacentral:rRNA from 1 species
UGUCGUCAGCUCGUGUUGUGAAAUGUUGGGUUAAGUCCCGCAACGAGCGCAACCCUUAUCCUUUGUUGCCAGCGGUCCGGCCGGGAACUCAAAGGAGACUGCCAGUGAUAAACUGGAGGAAGGUGGGGAUGACGUCAAGUCAUCAUGGCCCUUACGACCAGGGCUACACACGUGCUACAAUGGCGCAUACAAAGAGAAGCGACCUCGCGAGAGCAAGCGGACCUCAUAAAGUGCGUCGUAGUCCGGAUUGGAGUCUGCAACUCGACUCCAUGAAGUCGGAAUCGCUAGUAAUCGUGGAUCAGAAUGCCACGGUGAAUACGUUCCCGGGCCUUGUACACACCGCCCGUCACACCAUGGGAGUGGGUUGCAAAAGAAGUAGGUAGCUUAACCUUCGGGAGGGCGCUUACCACUUUGUGAUUCAUGACUGGGGUGAAGU